GAUGAACGCUGGCGGUAUGCUUAACACAUGCAAGUCGAACGGACUCUUCGGAGUUAGUGGCGGACGGGUGAGUAACGCGUGAGAAUCUGGCUUUGGGUUCGGGACAACCACUGGAAACGGUGGCUAAUACCGGAUGUGCCGAGAGGUAAAAGCGAAAUUGCCUGAAGAUGAGCUCGCGUCUGAUUAGCUAGUUGGUGAGGUAAAGGCCCACCAAGGCAGCGAUCAGUUGCUGGUUUGAGAGGAUGCCCAGCCACACUGGGACUGGGACGCGGCCCAGACGCCUACUGGAGGCAGCAGUGGGGAAUUUUCCGCAAUGGGCGAGUGCCUGACGGAGCAAUACCGCGUGUGGGAAGAAGGCGCUUGGGUUGUAAACCUCUUUGCUUAGGGAAGAACAAAAUGACGGUACCUAAGGAAUCAGCACCGGCUAACUCCGUG
rnacentral:rRNA from 1 species